CUCACGUUCGUGGAAGUGUUUGAUAGCACAAACAAAGGAGAUUUCCGAGGACCUCAGAAAAGGAGGUGUUGAUCAGCUGGAAAAGGUCAUGCCAAGUCUGUAGCUCUUAAUGCCCUGG